rnacentral:misc_RNA from 1 species
GUCCUGGCAUUCUUCUCUUUCUUCUCAAUUAAACUUAUGUCACCAUCUGAUUUUCCCCUCGUUAGAGAAUGAGCUUCUUCAUCAUCAGAUUCCUCUCCUACUUCUUCUGAGUAGGCAUACCGUUGCGAGCUUUGAGAAGGAGCCCAGAGAUAGCAAAUGACAGAGAGCAAGGCAAAUGCAAGAAUGUCCCAGAAAGCAGUAAUUAUCCAAGCACUUUGCCACCGUUCAUUAAAUGGAUCUGUUGCUUUGAAGUAAACCUCAUAGGCUAUCCAAGUAACAGAAGUUACAACUGCCACAGCUAGUGCAUU